rnacentral:rRNA from 1 species
AUUGAACGCUGGCGGCAGGCCUAAAACAUGCAAGUAGAACGAGUGGCGGACGGGUGAGUAAUGUCUGGGAAACUGCCCGAUGGAGGGGGAUAAAUACUGGAAACGGUAGCUAAUACCGCAUACCAUCGGAUGUGCCCAGAUGGGGUUAACUAGUAGGUGGGGUAACGGCUCACCUAGGCGACGAUCCCUCGCUGGUCUGAGAGGAUGACAAGCCCCACGUGAACGGAGACACGGUCCAGACUCCUACGGGAGGCAGCAGUGGGGAAUAUUGCACAAGGGGCGCAAGCCUGAUGCAGCCAUGCCGCGUGUAUGAAGAAGGCCUUCGGGUUUUAAAGUACUUUCAGCGAGGAGGCGUUACUCGCAGAAGAAGCACCGGCUAACUCCGUGCCAGCAGCCGCGGUAAUUC